CGUAUCACUUAAAGCGAUUCAGCGGGUUACGAUUGACGGAGCGAAGCGACGUCAAAGCGUAUACAAAGUCGAGUCGGUUUAAGGAUACGUUCGUUGGGUAGGGGAGCGUUCUGUAAGCCUGUGAAGGUGGCCUGUGAGGGUUGCUGGAGGUAUCAGAAGUGCGAAUGCUGACAUAAGUAACGAUAAAGCGGGUGAAAAGCCCGCUCGCCGGAAGACCAAGGGUUCCUGUCCAACGUUAAUCGGGGCAGGGUGAGUCGACCCCUAAGGCGAGGCCGAAAGGCGUAGUCGAUGGGAAACGGGUUAAUAUUCCCGUACUUGGUGUUACUGCGAAGGGGGGACGGAGAAGGCUAUGUUGGCCGGGCGACGGUUGUCCCGGUUUAAGCGUGUAGGUGUGUGUUCCAGGUAAAUCCGGUUCACUUUAACACUGAGGCGUGAUGACGAGGCACUACGGUGCUGAAGCAACAAAUGCCCUGCUUCCAGGAAAAGCCUCUAAGCAUCAGGUAACAUCAAAUCGUACCCCAAACCGACACAGGUGGUCAGGUAGAGAAUACCAAGGCGCUUGAGAGAACUCGGGUGAAGGAACUAGGCAAAAUGGUGCCGUAACU
rnacentral:rRNA from 1 species